UACAGAGGUCUCAAGCGUUGUUCGGAUUCAUUGGGCGUAAAGGGUGCGUAGGCGGCGCGGUAAGUCGGGUGUGAAAUCUUGGAGCUUAACUCCGAAACUGCAUUCGAUACUGCCGUGCUUGAGGACUGGAGAGGAGACUGGAAUUUACGGUGUAGCGGUGAAAUGCGCAGAUAUCAGGAGGAACACCGGUGGCGAAGGCGGUUCUCUGGGAAUGUCCUGACGCUGAGGAGCGAAAGUGUGGGGAGCGAACAGG
rnacentral:rRNA from 1 species